ACAAUGAUACUUCUGCUUACGCAGCUCGGAGAGAUCCUCGGAGGGGUGAGAGUCCCAUGA
rfam:Pseudoflavonifractor capillosus ATCC 29799 B_capillosus-2.0.1_Cont50.1, whole genome shotgun sequence.